GACGAACGCUGGCGGCGUGCUUAACACAUGCAAGUCGAACGGUAAGGCUCCAGCUUGCUGGGGUACACGAGUGGCGAACGGGUGAGUAACACGUGGGUGACCUGCCCUGCACUUCGGGAUAAGCCUGGGAAACUGGGUCUAAUACCGGAUAGGACCAUGGUGUGGAUACUGUGGUGGAAAGUUUUUUCGGUGUGGGAUGGGCCCGCGGCCUAUCAGCUUGUUGGUGGGGUAAUGGCCUACCAAGGCGGCGACGGGUAGCCGGCCUGAGAGGGUGGACGGCCAUAUGGGGACGGAGACAGGGCCCGGCCCCCGCGGGGAGGAAGCAGGGGGGAAUUUGGCAAAAGGGGGGGAGGCUGGAUGCGGCGCGCCCGGGGGGGGGAGGACGGCCUUGGGUUUGUAAACUCUUUCCACCACGGAGGAAGGUUUUCGGAGGGUAGAGGGAAAAGAACACCCGGCAAACUCCGGC
rnacentral:rRNA from 1 species